rnacentral:rRNA from 1 species
AUUGAACGCUGGCGGCAGGCCUAACACAUGCAAGUCGAGCGGAUGAAGGGAGCUUGCUCCUGGAUUCAGCGGCGGACGGGUGAGUAAUGCCUAGGAAUCUGCCUGGUAGUGGGGGAUAACGUCCGGAAACGGGCGCUAAUACCGCAUACGUCCUGAGGGAGAAAGUGGGGGAUCUUCGGACCUCACGCUAUCAGAUGAGCCUAGGUCGGAUUAGCUAGUUGGUGGGGUAAAGGCCUACCAAGGCGACGAUCCGUAACUGGUCUGAGAGGAUGAUCAGUCACACUGGAACUGAGACACGGUCCAGACUCCUACGGGAGGCAGCAGUGGGGAAUAUUGGACAAUGGGCGAAAGCCUGAUCCAGCCAUGCCGCGUGUUUGAAGAAGGUCUUCGGAUUGGAAAGCACUUUAAGUUGGGAGGAAGGGCAGUAAGUUAAUACCUUGCUGUUUUGACGUUACCAACAGAAUAAGCACCGGCUAACUUCGUG